CUACGGGACGCUCCAGUGGGGAAUAUUGCACAAUGGGGGAAACCCUGAUGCAGCGACGCCGCGUGAAGGAUGAAGGAUUUCGGUUCGUAAACUUCUAUCAGCAGGGAAGAUAGUGACUGUACCUGACUAAGAAGCCCCGGCUAACUACGUGCCAGCAGCCGCGGUAAUACGUAGGGGGCAAGCGUUAUCCGGAAUUACUGGGUGUAAAGGGUGCGUAGGUGGUUCUUUAAGUCAGAUGUGGAAGCCCGGGGCUCAACCUCGGGACUGCAUUUGAAACUGGGGAACUAGAAUACAGGAGAGGUAAGUGGAAUUCCUAGUGUAGCGGUGAAAUGCGUAGAUAUUAGGAGGAACACCAGUGGCGAAGGCGACUUACUGGACUGUUAUUGACACUGAGGCACGAAAGCGUGGGGAGCGAACAGGAUUAGAUACCCGAGUAGUC
rnacentral:rRNA from 1 species